rnacentral:rRNA from 1 species
CCUGCCCCCUCCCCCGGGAUAGCCGCCCGAAAGGACGGGUAAUACCGGAUACCCCGGGGUGCCGCAUGGCACCCCGGCUAAAGCCCCGACGGGAGGGGAUGGCUCCGCGGCCCAUCAGGUAGACGGCGGGGUGACGGCCCACCGUGCCGACAACGGGUAGCCGGGUUGAGAGACCGACCGGCCAGAUUGGGACUGAGACACGGCCCAGACUCCUACGGGAGGCAGCAGUGGGGAAUCUUGCGCAAUGGGGGGAACCCUGACGCAGCGACGCCGCGUGCGGGACGGAGGCCUUCGGGUCGUAAACCGCUUUCAGCAGGGAAGAGUCAAGACUGUACCUGCAGAAGAAGCCCCGGCUAACUACGUGCCAGCAGCCGCGGUAAUACGUAGGGGGCGAGCGUUAUCCGGAUUCAUUGGGCGUAAAGCGCGCGUAGGCGGCCCGGCAGGCCGGGGGUCGAAGCGGGGGGCUCAACCCCCCGAAGCCCCCGGAACCUCCGCGGCUUGGGUCCGGUAGGGGAGGGUGGAACACCCGGUGUAGCGGUGGAAUGCGCAGAUAUCGGGUGGAACACCGGUGGCGAAGGCGGCCCUCUGGGCCGAGACCGACGCUGAGGCGCGAAAGCUGGGGGAGCGAACAGGAUUAGAUA